rnacentral:rRNA from 1 species
UUUUACAAUGGAGAGUUUGAUCCUGGCUCAGGAUGAACGCUAGCUACAGGCUUAACACAUGCAAGUCGAGGGGAAACGGGAGAAUAGCUUGCUAUUCUUUGUCGUCGACCGGCGCACGGGUGAGUAACGCGUAUCCAACC